CUGUAAGAGACAGAACCUAGCCAGUUUUCCUGAGAGUACAGGUAGUGACUGUGUCUUACUUAUUCCAUUGGUGGGAGCUCAACUUCAGUCUGAUGCUACUGGCCAAUCCAACAUUAAGAGGAAAAGGAAAGUUCAGGAGAUAUGAGUCCUUGUUGGGUUCUGGAAGCUGAAAUUCAAGCUCAAGAUGUCAGCAAGUUUGACACCUGCCGAGACCAGUGUCCUUGGCUUGCGGGUGGCCACCCUAGCGGACUGAUACUACCAAAAGCCCUGGAGCAAGUAGGAGCUGUUGGAGGAGAGGGUGGCAGGAGACUGUUUCUAGCUAAACCGAGGCGUCUGCUUCUAUCUUUAAAGCUGUAGAUAAAAGAUCCGGAGAGUAACGGGUAGCAUUGCCAGAGCUGGAGUCAAAUAGGCUGCCUUCACGUGAAUUUAACCUUGGGACAGUCACGUCACUCUCAGCUCUUCCGGUUUUUUUUUGUUUUUGUUUUCCUCGCCCAUAAAA